GCCAAGAUAGCCUAGUGGCAAGGCAUGCAUAUUAAUGCAAUUUACGGUUGUCUCGCAGGUUACAGGUUCGAUUCCGGUUGUUGACA